UGGAAGGCAGCUUUUGCAUAUCCAAUAAGCGGAGGAAAAGAAACCAACAGGGAUUGCCCUAGUAACGGCGAGUGAAGCGGCAACAGCUCAAAUUUGAAAGCUGGCCUUCGGGUCCGCAUUGUAAUUUGUAGAGGAUGCUUUGGGUGAAACGCCAGUCUAAGUUCCUUGGAACAGGACGUCAUAGAGGGUGAGAAUCCCGUAUGUGACUGGAAAUGUUAACCUAUGUAAAGCUCCUUCGACGAGUCGAGUUGUUUGGGAAUGCAGCUCUAAAUGGGAGGUAAAUUUCUUCUAAAGCUAAAUAUUGGCGAGAGACCGAUAGCGCACAAGUAGAGUGAUCGAAAGAUGAAAAGCACUUUGGAAAGAGAGUUAAAAAGCACGUGAAAUUGUUGAAAGGGAAGCGCUUGCAAUCAGACUUGUUUAAACUGUUCGGCCGGUCUUCUGACCGGUUUACUCAGUUUGGACAGGCCAGCAUCAGUUUCGGCGGCCGGAUAAAGGCUCUGGGAAUGUGGCCUUCACUUCGGUGAAGGUGUUAUAGCCCAGGGUGUAAUACGGCCAGCCGGGACUGAGGUCCGCGCUCGGCUAGGAUGCUGCGUAAGGCAGAGU
rnacentral:rRNA from 1 species